GAGACCUCCUGUGGAAGACUACAAGAGCUCAGCACACCGAGUGCUUGGCGGAUGAGGCCCACAUGUGAUGGCUACGUAACCUCAGUGGCAGAGUGGAUGUCAUCUCCCUCCUCUCAGAGCUGGUCUACUAGGAGAUAUUGUAACAACCGAACCUAUUACUGUAGCCUUCAUCACUGCAGCCCAAAUGCUGCUGGCAACCUAUGGGGCAGAGCCGCCACAUCUCCAUUUUGUGAAGACUAAAAUGGCUCAGUCAAAACACGACUCCCAGGUGGACUGAGAGGAAUUGGCCCUCAGCAAAGAAAGCCCCGAGCUUUGUAAAGGCAGGUUUGGAAUAGUCUGGACCCUCCCC